ensembl:snoRNA
UUGGCCCCGAAUAAAGGCUCGCAGUUACCUAAAGCUGUUGGUUUCAAGCAGGAGCCUAAAGUGAUAUUUUUCUGUGGCCUGUUGGCAUUUCAGAACUUUAUAAGUGUAACGAUCAAUUCAUUAGAAAAAGCAACU